rnacentral:rRNA from 1 species
UCCUGGCUCAGGAUGAAAACGCUGGCGGCGUGCCUAACACAUGCAAAGUCGAACGAAGCAUGCAGGAAGAAGCCCUUCGGGGCGGGCGACUGGAUGACUGAGUGGCGGACGGGUGAGUAACGCGUGGGCAACCUGCCCAUACAGGGGGAUAACAGCCGGAAACGGCUGCUAAUACCGCAUAAACCAGGGAGGCGCAUGCCUUUGUGGGGAAAGCUCCGGCGGUAUGGGAGGGGCCCGCGUCUGAUUAGCUUGUUGGCGGGGCAGCGGCCCACCAAGGCGACGAUCAGUAGCCGGCCUGAGAGGGCGGACGGCCACAUUGGGACUGAGACACGGCCCAAACUCCUACGGGAGGCAGCAGUGGGGGAUAUUGCACAAUGGGGGAAACCCUGAUGCAGCGACGCCGCGUGGGCGAAGAAGUAUUUCGGGUAUGUAAAGCCCUAUCAGCAGGGAAGAAGAAAUGACGGUACCUGAGUAAGAAGCACCGGGCUAAAUACGUGCCAGCA